GACGAACGCUGGCGGCGUGCUUAACACAUGCAAGUCGAACGGAAAGGCCCUGCUUUUGUGGGGUGCUCGAGUGGCGAACGGGUGAGUAACACGUGAGUAACCUGCCCUUGACUUUGGGAUAACUUCAGGAAACUGGGGCUAAUACCGGAUAGGAGCUCCUGCUGCAUGGUGGGGGUUGGAAAGUUUCGGCGGUUGGGGAUGGACUCGCGGCUUAUCAGCUUGUUGGUGGGGUAGUGGCUUACCAAGGCUUUGACGGGUAGCCGGCCUGAGAGGGUGACCGGCCACAUUGGGACUGAGAUACGGCCCAGACUCCUACGGGAGGCAGCAGUGGGGAAUAUUGCACAAUGGGCGGAAGCCUGAUGCAGCAACGCCGCGUGCGGGAUGACGGCCUUCGGGUUGUAAACCGCUUCCGCCUGUGACGAAGCGUGAGUGACGGUAAUGGGUAAAGAAGCACCGGCUAACUACGUGCCAGCAGCCGCGGUGAUACGUAGGGUGCGAGCGUUGUCCGGAUUUAUUGGGCGUAAAGGGCUCGUAGGUGGUUGAUCGCGUCGGAAGUGUAAUCUUGGGGCUUAACCCUGAGCGUGCUUUCGAUACGGGUUGACUUGAGGAAGGUAGGGGAGAAUGGAAUUCCUGGUGGAGCGGUGGAAUGCGCAGAUAUCAGGAGGAACACCAGUGGCGAAGGCGGUUCUCUGGGCCUUUCCUGACGCUGAGGAGCGAAAGCGUGGGGAGCGAACAGGCUUAGAUACCCUGGUAGUCCACGCUGUAAACGGUGGGUACUAGGUGUGGGGUCCAUUCCACGGGUUCCGUGCCGUAGCUAACGCUUUAAGUACCCCGCCUGGGGAGUACGGCCGCAAGGCUAAAACUCAAAGGAAUUGACGGGGCCCCGCACAAGCGGCGGAGCAUGCGGAUUAAUUCGAUGCAACGCGUAGAACCUUACCUGGGUUUGACAUGGAUCGGGAGUGCUCAGAGAUGGGUGUGCCUCUUUUGGGGUCGGUUCACAGGUGGUGCAUGGCUGUCGUCAGCUCGUGUCGUGAGAUGUUGGGUUAAGUCCCGCAACGAGCGCAACCCUUGUUCACUGUUGCCAGCACGUUAUGGUGGGGACUCAGUGGAGACCGCCGGGGUCAACUCGGAGGAAGGUGGGGAUGACGUCAAGUCAUCAUGCCCCUUAUGUCCAGGGCUUCACGCAUGCUACAAUGGCUGGUACAGAGAGUGGCGAGCCUGUGAGGGUGAGCGAAUCUCGGAAAGCCGGUCUCAGUUCGGAUUGGGGUCUGCAACUCGACCUCAUGAAGUCGGAGUCGCUAGUAAUCGCAGAUCAGCAACGCUGCGGUGAAUACGUUCCCGGGGCU
rnacentral:rRNA from 1 species